GAUGAACGCUAGCUACAGGCUUAACACAUGCAAGUCGAGGGACCGGCGCACGGGUGAGUAACACGUAUCCAACCUGCCCUUUACUCGGGGAUAGCCUUUCGAAAUAAAGAUUAAUACCCGAUGUAAAGUAUGGGGAUGCGUUCCAUUAGGUUGUUGGUGAGGUAACGGCUAACCAAGCGUUCGCUGGAUAGGGGUUCUGAGAGGAAGCUCCCCCACAUUGGAAAUGAGACACAGUCCAAAAUCCGACGGGAGGCAGGAGUGAGUAAUAUUGGUCAAUGGGCGCUAGCCUGACCCUGCCACGUAUCGUGAAGAAGGCAGGCUUAUUGGUCGUAUUCUUCUUUUAGAGAAGAAUAUGUAUUAUAUGAAUAAGGACCGGCUAACUCCGUGCCAGCAGCCGCGGUAAUAC
rnacentral:rRNA from 1 species